GCUAGUGUAGGCUUCGCUCAGUCCACUUUUCGCGGACUGAACCUUUCCAAUCACCAUACCCAUAAGGGUACGAUGUUCUUCCACAAUGGUGGCGCUCUGAAGCGCUCCCACCAGAGUGUCCAGCACCUCCGCAUUGACAGAGGACGCCCGGUGUUGUAGGCGCACCCCCUUCUCGCAAAGAGGGUUGCUCAUCUGUUUCUGGAAAUGUGUGGGUUUCCGGAGCGACAUUUGGUUGGGGGCCAAACUGGACAUGGCCCUCGUCUCCAGUCUCCAUAGGGUUGGUUCCCCCAUGUUCUCGGCAGCCAAGGUGUCACCCUUCGGCACCGUCUCACCAGCCUCCGGCACCUCUCCCUAUUCCGGAAGGGUCCUUUGGGACGACACCUCAGUGUUGUCUACUGCAGGGGGAGGAAGCUCGUGGAGGUGAAUCGAUGUCCAUCAUGUUCGGACCCAGCGAAUUCCCAGUAGAGGAAGAUCGCUGGGAGAGGACAUGAACCGGACUGCAACAUUCAAUUUAAGCAUGUUAUAACUAUAAGCCAGAAAAGCCGGACAUAUAUAUAUAGGGCGGGUCUAUUCUAAUAACACCCUUAAGACCUUAUUCUAAUAACACCUAUCCUUAUUCUGAUAACAAAACAACCAACUUCACGCGACUCCGAAAACUGCACGAUGCGAGAAAAAAAGCCCCUGUCCCCCACCUGCUCCACUUCCUCCCACCCACCCAACCUCCCGCACAGCCGCAUCCACCCCGAUCGGAGCCUCACCCGUCCCCUCACCUCCACCUUCCUCGCCGGCCUCCCACGGCCUCGUCCCGCGACGCCGCCCGAUCCCGCCCAUGGCCAUGGCUCUGGCCCCGCGACGGUUGGCCUGGGUGGUCCCGUCCGCCCUCACAACACCGCCCCACCCCUGGCCACGGCUACGACCCCGCCCUGCGGCGGUCGGCCUCGGCGGCCCCGGCCCUGCAGCGCCGCCCCAUCCCUGCCGCGGCUACGGCCCGCCACGCGACGGCUGGCCUCGGCGGCCCCGGCCCUGCAAUGCCACCCACCCCCAUAGCCGUCCAACGGGCACAGCCCAUGAGCCGCGGCACGGACCACGUCGAGGAUCUGCCUCUCCCUAGAUCCGUCCGGCGAGCCUCCAUGUCCUGAGCUCCGCUUCGAGGAUCCGCCUCCCUCCUACAUGGAUAGGUCCGGAAGAACGUGGUGCACUUCAGUUGGAUGCCGCAUUGCAUCUUUUUGCAGGUUCCCUGGUCAUUCAGUUUGCACGGCGAAGCCCCCUCCGUGUAGUCUGCCGGCGCAGCCAUGCAGUACAGCAAGUCCGUUGUGUGCAGUCCGUGUAAUUCUAUGUUCUGUUUGUGCAAUGUAGCAUGCGUGAUCAUGCAGUUCAGUAGUGGUUUGUGCGUGUGUAUCUUUGAACCUCACUUUGAUCUCUCGCGCACUUUGGUAUAAAAACUCCUCUCUUGUCCACUUGGUAAACAGAAAAUAAAAACAUCUGAAAGAAGGAAGCUCCCUUCUAUAUUAGAUGAAGUUCACUCGCUCA